rnacentral:rRNA from 1 species
AGAACGAACGCUGGCGGCGCGCCUAAUACAUGCAAGUCGAGCGAGAAGACGUAGCAAUACGUUUGUAAAGCGGCGAACGGGUGAGGAAUACAUGGGUAACCUACCCUCGAGUGGGGAAUAACUAGCCGAAAGGUUAGCUAAUACCGCGUACGCUUCUUGGACUUCGGUUCAGGGAGGAAAGCGAUACCGUGGGUAUCGCGCUCUUGGAUGGGCUCAUGUCCUAUCAGCUUGUUGGUGAGGUAACGGCCCACCAAGGCAACGAUGGGUAGCUGGUCUGAGAGGACGACCAGCCACACUGGGACUGAGACACGGCCCAGACUCCUACGGGAGGCAGCAGUGAGGAAUUUUCCGCAAUGGGCGAAAGCCUGACGGAGCGACGCCGCGUGCACGAGGAAGGUCUUCGGAUCGUAAAGUGCUGUCGAGGGGGACGAGUUAUGACGGUACCCCUGGAGGAAGCCCCGGCUAACUACGUGCCAGCAGCCGC